rnacentral:rRNA from 1 species
AGCUCCAAUCUCUUCUCUUCCUGUUUUUGUGUUUCCCCCUCUCGUAGUUGGAUCUCGGCCUCUUGCUUUCUGUUUUCUUUCUAUUCUUACUGCCCUAUAAUCUGUAGUUUUGCCAGAGGUUUUAGGGUGCUCUUAAUCGAGUGUCCUGGGAUGCUGGCAGGUUUACUUUGAAAAAAUUAGAGUGCUCAAAGCAGGCUGUUACGCCUGAAUAUUCGUGCAUGGAAUAAUAGAAUAGGAAGUCGUUUCUAUUUUGUUGGUUUUCGGAAAUCGACUUAAUGAUUAAUAGGGACAGUCGGGGGCAUUUGUAUUCAAACGACAGAGGUGAAAUUCUUGGACCGUUUGAAGACAAACUACUGCGAAAGCAUUUGCCAAGAAUGUUUUCA